AUUGAACGCUGGCGGCAGGCCUAACACAUGCAAGUCGAGCGGAUGAGGGGAGCUUGCUCCUCGAUUCAGCGGCGGACGGGUGAGUAAUGCCUAGGAAUCUGCCUAGUAGUGGGGGACAACGUUUCGAAAGGAACGCUAAUACCGCAUACGUCCUACGGGAGAAAGUGGGGGAUCUUCGGACCUCACGCUAUUAGAUGAGCCUAGGUCGGAUUAGCUAGUUGGUAGGGUAAAGGCCUACCAAGGCGACGAUCCGUAACCGGUCUGAGAGGAUGAUCAGUCACACUGGAACUGAGACACGGUCCAGACUCCUACGGGAGGCAGCAGUGGGGAAUAUUGGACAAUGGGCGAAAGCCUGAUCCAGCCAUGCCGCGUGUGUGAAGAAGGCCUUCGGGUCGUAAAGCACUUUAAGUUGGGAGGAAGGGCUCAUAGCGAAUACCUGUGAGUUUUGACGUUACCAACAGAAUAAGCACCGGCUAACUUCGUGCCAGCCGCCGCCGUAA
rnacentral:rRNA from 1 species